GUGCUUGCUAUGGCAGCACACACACUAAGAUUGGAACUAUAACAGAGAUUAGCACGGCCCUGUGCAAGGACAACAUACAAAUUCAUGAAGCUGUCCCUAGUUUU
ensembl:snRNA U6 U6 spliceosomal RNA